UUAUUACAUUGGCUUUCUCUCAAAGGCUGCUCUGCAGGAGAGUGUUGAUGCUUUUAUCAACUGUGUUGUGAAAAACAUAGGAUUCAGCUAGGGAAAGCACGUUGCCUGUUUGAUCAGAAUAUGGAAGGACCAGUCACAUAUACAAUUGUUAUACUUUCGAUGAGAAUACUCCACUUGUUGAUGUCCAUAGUACAUCUCUGCAUUGGGUGAAACAAUAUUCAAGGGACUGCAAAGCGGAGAUAAGGAUGUGGUCUGGCUAAUGCAGGUAAAAGGAAGGAUUUAAUUGAGUCUUACUAUUUAACUCUGAGUAUCUCUUUUAAGAGAAUGUAGCUAGUUACAUUGACAUCCCAUUUGUAAAUAGUAACCAUGCCUUCUUAUUUAUGUUUCUCUAGAUAUUAGCACACGAUACUUGCGCCAUUUUCAUUUUAGUGCAAGAAGCAUGCAUACUAUGGAAUAGUUUUUAUACCCUCAUAUAUUGUUUGUGCAUUAGUCCCUAAGCAUGCAUACUCUGAAAUCAUAGUGAUUAUUUCUAGCCAAGUAAGCUGAU